AGAGUUUGAUCCUGGCUCAGGACGAACGCUGGCGGCGUGCCUAACACAUGCAAGUCGGACGGGCCUGGGUGAAAGCCUGGGUCAGUGGCGGACGGGUGCGUAACACGUAGGUGACCUGCCCUGAAGUGGGGAAUAAUUCCGCGAAAGCGGGACUAAUACCGCAUGAGCUCAGCCAUUCGUUUGGUUGAGCAAAGCCUUUGGGCGCUUGAGGAUGGGCCUGCGGCGGAUUAGCUAGUUGGUGGGGUAACGGCUCACCAAGGCGAUGAUCCGUAGGGGGCGUGAGAGCGUGGCCCCCCACAUUGGCACUGAAACACGGGCCAAACUCCUACGGGAGGCAGCAGUGAGGAAUAUUGCACAAUGGGCGAAAGCCUGAUGCAGCAACGCCGCGUGAGGGACGAAGGCCUUCGGGUCGUAAACCUCUUUUCUGAGAGACGAGACAAGGACGGUAUCUCAGGAAUAAGUCUCGGCUAACUACGUGCCAGCAGCCGCGGUAAAACGUAGGAGGCGAGCGUUAUCCGGAUUUACUGGGCGUAAAGCGCGCGCAGGCGGCUGGGUAAGUUGGCUGUGAAAAGCUCCUGGCUUAACUGGGAGAGGUCGGUCAAGACUGCCUGGCUUGAGGUAGGGAGAGGGGUGUGGAAUUCCCGGUGUAGUGGUGGAAUGCGUAGAUAUCGGGAGGAACACCAGUGGCGAAGGCGGCACCCUGGCCCUCACCUGACGCUGAGGUGCGAAAGCGUGGGUAGCAAACAGGAUUAGAUACCCUGGUAGUCCACGCUGUAAACGAUGUCAACUGGGUGUCGGAGGUGUUACACUUUCGGUGCCGAAGCUAACGCGUUAAGUUGACCGCCUGGGGACUACGAGCGCAAGCUUAAAACUCAAAUGAAUUGACGG
rnacentral:rRNA from 1 species